rnacentral:rRNA from 1 species
GCGUGGGUGAAGAAGGCCCUAGGGUUGUAAAGCCCUUUCGCCGGUGAAGAUAAUGACGGUAACCGGUAAAGAAGCCCCGGCUAACUUCGUGCCAGCAGCCGCGGUAAUACGAAGGGGGCUAGCGUUGUUCGGAAUCACUGGGCGUAAAGCGCACGUAGGCGGAUUGGUCAGUCAGGGGUGAAAGCCCGGAGCUCAACUCCGGAAUUGCCUUUGAUACUGCCAGUCUGGAGACCGGGAGAGGAGAGUGGAAUUCCCAGUGUAGAGGUGAAAUUCGU